AAAGGAUACUCUGAGUAUUGCUGAUGUUUCAAUGUAUAGGCUUUUCGCCCCCUUUGUAAAGUAGGUUUCCGUGUCUCUUUCUGAGUGCACAUAAUGAAUGCUAUUUUUUCUAUACUUUUAUUUUCUGCUGCAGCUGCCCAUCCAGCCUUCUAAACUAAAAACAUAUAAGCUACUGCUAUAAGUCACUAGGUGGAAGCAUCUACCUUAAUACUAGUAGCACAACUCCUUAUUAGAGAGGAAGAACAUAUCCAUCACCUGCACGACACUGCUAAUCUCCCAGUACAUAAUUGACAGCUUAAGUGGAGAGAACAGCAUGACGCUCACUGCAGAACAGCAACAACAACAGCAAAUAUUUAAAGGACUUGCUGGGAAAUGGUUGCAUUUAAUAUGCCUGAGAUCUUGUUCUUUUCUGAGAGGAAAGCAGACCCAUGAUCUUGGUCUCUUACAGAGCGACAACUUAGAGGAUUAAAGGAAUCUGCUGAGGACUUUGCUUCUGCUAAAAAUGUCGUCAUAGAAAUGGGCUCCACAGUAAGUACUGUAGUGGCACAAAAGUAUGGUACAGGCAGAGGGUUGCAACAUAAUACAUUUAAAAUUGAUUUUGGAAGGCAUUUUUUGUUAAAAAUAGAGGUGUUCUAGAACCUAAUAUAAGUGUCAUCCAAAAGAGAGAAUAAAGCAGAUCAAUGUCCGCUCA
rnacentral:lncRNA from 1 species